CUUAACUUCCUCUUCUUGAGCGUAAUACAAGAUCUGCCAACCCUUUCAACUUUAAUCUAUAUCAAUACAAGGCAAAAGGAUUCCAUAUUACAAUAAUACUCAUGUUUUGGUCACUUAGGCAUUUUAUCAAACACCUUAUGGGCGUAAAGCCUCAUAGCCCUUAUUAGUGGUGUUUCUACGCCCAACAACCCAUUCUCUUGCUCCUAGAUAAUUCUAAAAUCUCAAAUUUCUAUAAUCUAUAUCAUUCUUCAUCACCCAUAAGAUAAACAAUACUCUUAAUCAACAAUCAACAACCCAAACCUAUAACCGUUAAUGCUUUUCUAUCAAAUGCAUCAACUCAUAUCUCAUGAACUUAGAGUCUAUAAUCAUUUAUCCAAAGCUAUAAUCAAUUAGAGGGUGAAGAUAUUACCUUUUUGAAGUUCAAUCCUAUUGAAUUCGAGUUUUAGGGUUUCUUUUCUCAACCAUAAUGUCCCAAUCAAAUACCUAAUGAUUUUGAGGGUUUACCCAUAUUAAUAAGGUGUUGGGGAAUUGAAAUUAACUUAGAAUCACCAUUAGAACUUAUCUUGGAUGGUGGAGGGACCUUUGAAGAGCUAGGUUCUUGAGAGCUUCCCUUUCUAAAGCAAGUUUUAAUGUUUUGGGAUGUGGGGAACGAAGUAGGGCUUUAAAAAUGACCCUCCGGGUGCGUCCCCGCGUACCUGAAGGCCCAACCGCGCACCUGGACAGGCAGCAGGGCAGUAGCACUGCCACAAGUGCGCGGCCAUGCACGGGAUCAUCUGGGCGCACACCUGGGCGCGCAUACUGCGCAUUGUCUAGUAAAACGCACAUAACCUUUUACUCAGAAAUCCGUUCGGGCUACACAAUAUAUCAUUGGAAAUCUAUUUCAAAGGGCUACAACGUUUAUGUUUUACAUUUUCCCAAAUCCUCAACAAAAGUUUACGAAAUCCUUCUAGAAAAUAGACCUUCCAUAAACUUAAUCGAUUUUAUCGAAUCUUAUGCACCUCACUCUCCAUCUUGAUUCAAAAACAACUAUUUUCUACCCAUACACAUCCCGAUAGUACUUCAUAUGUCUAAGAUGUCACAUUAAUACUCAUUUAACAUGUCCAUGCCUAGUCCGACUUUACAGAGUGUUACACAUUGAUACCAGAAUAACUGAAUGGCUCAUAUAAACAGAAUAACCUAAUAAAGUGCAUCAACUAAUAUAAAUACAAUUAAAGCAAGUAAAACUUAAGACAACGAAAAUAUACAAUUAGUGCAAGUAGGAACAUGUAGCAGGUAAGUAUAUAUUGAGUGAGAAAUGAACGGAUAGAAACACGUAGCAAUUAAAUAGUAGAUAACAAGUAAAGCAUGGAUGACAAGUAAGAACAUGUAUCAAUUAAAACAUGUAAUAAGAGCUAACAUGGAAUAAAUGAAGACAUGGAAGUAAAUAGCAAAAUCUCACAUGCUUUAAUCCCAUGGCGGCGCACACACACUCGGAUGUACCCCUGCUAGGCUAGGAGGCAAUGCAAGCCUGUAAGCAACCUCCCCAACUCUCUCCAAGAUCUUAAACGGGCCAAUAAACCUCUGGCUUAACUUGCCCUUCUUCCCAAAUUGCAUCAUGCCCUUCAUAGGAGACACUGGGAGAAGAACCUUCUCACCCACCAUGUAAGCUACAUCUCGAACCUUUCGGUCCGCACAAUUCUUAUGCCCGGACUGAGAUGAAAGUCAUUCCUGAAUCACCUUAACCUUUUCCAUAGCAUCACGGACUAAAUCAGUGCCCAACAAUCUAACCUCUCCGGGCUCAAACCAACCAAUCGGUGAACGGCAUCGCCUCCUAUAUAAGGCCUCAUACGAAGCCAUUUGAAUGCUCGACUGGUAAAUGUUGUUCUAGGAAAACUCUACUAAAGGUAAUACAAGUGCGUAAAAAGGCCUCUAAGAUCUAAAUAGUGUGCUCAAAUUACCCAUCCGUCUAAGGAUGAAAUACGGUACUCAACUCGACUCGUGUGCCCAACUCACGCUAGCCGACUCUCCAAAAUGUGAUGUGAACUACGUGCCUCGGUUAGAAAUAAUGGAAAUGGGCACAUCGUGCAGGCGGAUAAUCUCCUCAAUGUAAAUCUGAGCCAACCGCUCUAAAGAGUAGGAAGUCGCCACCGGAAUAAAGUGUACGGACUUAGUAAACAGGUCCACAAUAACCCAGAAUACGCCAUAUUUCCUCAAGGUCUCUCCUAAGCCUACCACAAAAUCCAAUGUGAUGCGCUCCCACUUCCACUCCAGUAUCUCUAAUAUUUGAAUCAAUCCACCCAGUUUCUGAUUUUCAUACUUCACCUGUUGACAAUUCAAACACCGAGAUACAUAAGCAAUGUCUUUCUUUAUCCUUCUCCACCAAUAGUGUUGUUUCAAUUCACGGUACAUCAUCAUGACACAUGGGUGAAUGGAAUAGCACGAACUGUGGGCCUUCUUAAGCAUCAACUCUCUCAACUCAUCAACAUUUGGAACACAAAUCCGGUCUUGAGGCCGCAUAACACCAUCAUCACCAAUCACAACCUCCGUAGCACCACCCCGCUUCACUAUAUCCUUUAACACCAACAAGCGAGGGUCAUCAAAUUGGCGAGCCUUAAUACACUCCAACAACAAAGAUUGUGCCACAAUACAAGCAGGAACCCGGGUAGGCUCCGAAACAUCCAAUCUCACAAAUUGGUUGGCCAAGGCCUAAACAUCCAUAUCUAGCGGCCUCUCCACUACCGGUAUAUAUGCCAAACUACCCAUGCUCUCUGCCUUCCUAAUCAAUCCUUGAGACUCCGAUGGUCGGUAUCGACCUCACAUAGAGUGUCUUAUAGAUAGUGCCUCCAAAUCUUCAUCGCGUGAACAAUGGCUACUAACUGUAAGUCAUGCACAGGGUAAUUCUUUUCAUGAACCUUCAAUUUCCGAGAUGUGUAGGCAAUCACCCUACCGUCCUGUAUCAAUACCGCGCCAUGACCAAUACACAAUGCAUCAUAAUACACGGUGUAAGAUCCUAAAAUUAUAGGCAACACCAACACUGGGGCUGUUGUUAAUGCAAUCUUGAGGUUUUGAAAGAUCAAAUCACACUCGUCAAACCAUCUAAAAAGAGCACCCUUAUGGGUCAAAUUGGUCAAUGGGUCUGAGACAAAUGAAAAUCCAUCCACGAACCGACGAUAAUAACCUGCUGAACCCAUGAAACUCUGAAUCUCUAUAGCUGAAGUAGGUGUAGACUAGUUCUGAACUACCUCAAUCUUCUUAGGAUCUACCUUAAUGUCCUAGGAAGAUAAAACAUGGCCCAAAAAGGCAUCCAACCAAAACUCACACUUUAAAAACUUGGCAUAUAACUGACAAUCCCUCAGUGUCGUAAGUACGAUUCGAAAAUGUUGCUCAUGCUCCUCUCGACCGCGGGAGUAAAUUAAAUAUCAUCAAUAUGGAUUGAAUGCAUAGUUCAUCAAUUUCAUAAAGGUUGCUGGGGCAUGAGUCAAGCUAAUGACAUCACUAAGAACUCGUAGUGACCAUACCAAGUCUGAAAAGCUAUCUUAAGGACAUCUGAUGCCCUAAUAUUCAAUUGAUGGUAGCCAGAUCUCAAAUCAAUCUUCAAAAACACCUUGGAACACUAUAGUUGAUCAAAUAAGUCAUCAAUCCUCGACAACGGAUACUUGUUCUUGAUAGUACCUUUGUUCAACUGUCGAUAGUCUAUACACAUCCUUAUUGUCCCAUCCUUUUACUUCACAAAUAACACAGGCGCACCCUAAGGCGAGACACUAGGUCAAAAAAAUCCAUUAUCAAGAAAAUCCUUCAACUACUCCUUCAAUAGUUUCAACUCAACUUGGACUAGAUGGUAUGGUGCGGUAGAAAUAGGUUGAGUGACCGGAACCAAGUCAAUGUAGAAGUCGAUAUCUUUGUCGUGUGGCAUCCUCGGCAAAUCUAAAGAAAACACCUCUAAGCCUGGUACUAAAUCCAUUAAAUAAACAUCCACACUAGGAUAACGGAUAUAGGCCAAAUAUGCUAGACACCCUUUCUCGACCAUACGCCGAGCUUUCACAUAAGAAAUGACCCUACUAGUAUAAUGGCUAGGAUUCCCUCUCCACUCUAAUUAAGGAAAUCCUGGCAUGGCUAAUGUCACAGUCUUGUCAUGAAAGUACAAAAUAGCAUUAUAAGGUGACAACAAAUCCAUGCAGAAGGUCCCUUAGAUGUCUUACCGGGCCCUUUGGGAAGGCCAGCUACUAAGUCUCGAAUCUGUCGCAUUUCUUCCAUGAGUAUAGCAAAUGGUUCUACUGUAGAAGAUGAUAUAUGGAUACCCUAGUUGGUCUAUGAAGAUGAUCCUAGCUUCUUUUUUUUGCUUUUCACGGCACCGCCCUCUCUCUUUUCUUCAAUGGAGCAAUAGGCUUUUCCAAAUCUAUCCAAUUGUCUUCAGGAUCCUCCUCAAUCCCUGCAAUCUGGCACAACUCAGUGAUGGAGAUGGUAACACCAGUGAUUAACUAUCAUGCUUCAGAUAAUCCCUCAACUCACUGAUGAAAAUUUCACCAACAUUGAGCCAGAUAUCAUCAAUAAUGGAGGUGAUCAUUUGAGCUCUCAAUAUUAGUACAUUUCAUAUAUUCCCCGCAAGAGAGAUGCGACUUCAUGUGAUGGCUAUCCAUAUCUUGUCUUCGACAAUGAAUUCUUUGGAUGUGAUUCCUCUCUUUUUAGCCACCCAUGUUACAUCUGUACCCGAGCAUAAUUUGGAGACCAACCACUCGCCUAAGGCACAAUCCUUAACACGAAAUGGCGUCAUUCAUAAUCCCCAUAUGUUGUAGAUUCGAUUCAUAGCUUCAACUCCAAAAUUCACCAUCUUGGAUUGUAUCCUCAUGAUUGGAUUUCUUAACUUGAUGGCUAGGAGAUUUGCCUAGAAUUCCCUCACCCAUUGCUCAUUUGCUUUGCAAGGUUGAGGGGCAAAACAAGUCCACCCCAUGGCCUCAAGCGUCUGAUAGAUCUUGGGAAGACGUUCGGGGACCUUUUCCAUUAUCAUACCACUUUCCAGAAGCAACUUUUUCGAAAUUAAUUCGGCAUAGUACCGUUGUCGGCCAUGGGGUUCCAAAGGGUUUUCAUGCAUGGAUUCGACGGAAUUAGAGCUCAUUUUUAGUUUAUGGUACCUAAACAAAGUAUUAGAGUGAAAAUGUGAUAUGGAUAUGAAAUACAUUGCAAAGUGAGUCAAAUAUGCUAAGAAAAUAAUUGGACAGUCGAAACCCAGCCUUAGAAAACAUUUCAAGUUUUUCAGUUCAGCAGAGUCGGGCCUCUGAUGUUGCAAUUGUGACAUUUGCUUCGCGAAUGCAAAGGAAGAAGUGAUGCUAGAAAUCGCAAUUAUGAUAUAGUCUUCGCAAAUAUGAAGGUUGACAGAUCUGUUGAUGUUUGCAAUUGCAUUCUCCUCUUCACAAAUGUGAAGCUCGCAAAUGUGAAAAGGUCAUCGCAAUUGCGAUGCCAUCAUCCCCAGCAGCCCUUAAACUCAGAAUAGUUUCAACUCUAAAAAUUUCGAACAAAGACAUACUUUUAGAGAACCCAAUCAGAUUUUAGGCACAAAAAAAUGCAAAAGACUUCACACACAACCACGAAUUGAAGAAAUUUCAAUAUUCGGUCAAGAAUCUCAUUCAGGCCUUUGAUCGAACACAUUACAUGCACAUGGAAUUACUCUCAUUUUAACAAAGAUAUGGGUAAUCAGACAUCCCCAUUUUCAAGAAAAGAAAGAAGCUCACAUUCUCAACCAACCUCACCCAGAAAUCAACACAGGAUUUGAGUUCAAUUUGAAGAAUUUCGCAUAAAAGGAAAGCUUAAACUAGAACCCUAGAUUUGAGAGAUGAGGGGAGAAGACGAAGAAGAUGAAUUACAAAUCAUAAAGAGCACAAAGAUUAAGCAUUCAUACCGUGAUGCUUGCAAAUAGGAGUGAAAAUGAAGGAAUUUGAGAGUUGGGAGAAUGAGGAAGGAGAAAAUCGUUUACUUGAGAGCCUCAAAGUUUUUUGAACUUUCAUUAAAUGUGCAGAAAAACCCCCAUUUAAGACCCUCAGAGGUCACAAUUGUGACUCUCUACUCGCAAUUAUGAAUGAUGAAUAUCAACAGAGGUCGCAAUUGUGACUGGAUCUUCAGUUUUGCGAUAGGCCCUCAGUUCAAAAUUCUAUACUUGAGGCGUAGACCUGGCCUUUUCUCAUUUCUCAAUCUACUUACUUUUUGUCCCAAACACAUCCAAACUUACUGAAACUUGGUAGAUUGAUCCAAAAUAAUAACAUAAACUAUUCUAAAAAGAAAAAUUAAAAAACAAAAUGAAAAUUUCAAAAAUUACGAAAACUUUGAAUAACGAUGGGUUGCCUCCCAACAAGCGUUUGCAUUUAACGUCGUGGAAGGACACAGAUCAACUUUAGAAUUUUUUUCUCUCCACUUGAAAGAUAUAAAUUGGGCACCUAACUUCAAAUCAAGCAUGUGACCAUGAGCGGUGGGGUGGUAAAUAGAUGAUCAAACCAAACUUCAAGUUCUUCAUGUUGCAUAUUUUGGCUCUCUGUUGUACCCUAUCUUGCACUAGUCAAAAUAAGAUUCAACUUGUGAUUUCUCUAUUAUUGACAAAAGAGAGUUACCACCUAAUAUUUAAAGGUAUACUAGGGUACCUAUUUAAGUACUAAAGGUUAUAUUCUUUAUUGGUCUGCUAACCGAUGAGAUUACGGGUAAGGGUUCUUCUAAAGGGAAGGUGUUAGGCACCCCUUAAAAUCUACCUGAGGUAGCUCCAUAGGACUUAAACUAGAUUUGAGACUAAUUGUUUGUACUAAGCUUUGACUAGUGUUCACAAGAGUACAACCUCCCAUAUUUUAGGAUAUAAUAUUUAUAAGGGAAGAGUAUGGUUUAAAAAUGAUGAAUUUAAAGAAAAGCCUUUAGGAAACUAAUGUUAGUACAUAUAUAAAAUGUGUGAAAGGGAAAGCUAAGUUUAAACACUUUGUUUUAAAUGUGUGAAAGGGAAAGCUAUGUUUAAACACUUUGUUUUCCUAAAUCAUGAAAGUUCAUAUUAUUCUAAUGUGAUGAAAGUGUUUAUGAAAAUGAUCCUAAGAUAUACCUUGGUGUUAAAGUAGAAAACUAUUUGAAAGCCUUUAUUUUAGGGCAGCAGUAUCUUAAUCUUUUCGAAAUAGUUUAUUUUCUUUUAGAAGACUUAAACUCGCCACUCAGUUCUGGUUUUUCCUUUUGAAAGAGUGACUGCCACCUUCGUUAAGCCUUUGGGCUUAAUCUUUAAGGAAAAGGUUAGCAAGGUAUAAUGGAUUGAUAACAAGCUCGCGAUUAGUAGUUAUAGAAUUAAUUGCUGACUAAUAUCUCUUUUAAUCCUAGAUUAUUUAAGCCUUGCCUAAGUUAUUUUAUGCGAGCUAAAAGAUAAAGUAGAGCACACAAUCCAAUAUAUAAUUGUCAUAUACAUAUGAGAUAAAGCAACAGGAAAUAUAGCAAAGAAUAACGAUAUAGUGCAACUGGAGGAUAAUGAAAAUAGUAAAUAAAGAAGAGAAGGAAAAGAAGUAACUCUAGGAGGUUUGGGUCUCAAAGAAGUAGGCCCAGCAGUAACAGAGACGAGCAACAUGAGCGAUAGCUAACUCUAAACCUUCUGAGACAUAGCAAGGAUGGACUUGGGCCUGAGUUCUUUAUCAUUGUACAUGUUCAAAAAAGAAAAUAGAAAGUCAUUAGAAUAACAGUAUUAUAUACAUAUUCAUAUGAAAUUUGUAAGCAAAUGAUAAAAGUAAAGAUCACUGGCAGUAUUUAAAUACUAAGGAAAGUCACACUAAUGUGGAGGUAUGACAAGUAAAUGAUCCACAUUUAACACCUUUCGUUAUCAUUAAACACCAAACCCAAAGAGAGUAAUAAGUGUCAAUGAAUUAAAGGCUAAGGAGGGAUUCUACUCAAGGUCGAUGCCCGCUUUGAAUCCCCAACACUUCAAAGUUCCCAAGGGUCUCAAGGCCCAGGGCAAUGCUUGUGCCAGGGAGAGCAGCCCAACCUAGAGUUACACUCCACUCUCAAAUACCUUUAAUCACUAACGACUAAUUCUUACCUAUAGGUUUGAAUGCCAAUGAGGCCCUUUUAAUGCAAACCAACCACUGUGACAUUUCCUACCACAAAAUCAUACUCCUUCUUAAUAGAAUAACUUAGGAAAAAUUCAUAGAGACAAUAUGACUAUACUUCAGUAUUAAGCGAGUGAAACACAUAUUGAACAGGUUUAAAAGUCAAGUUCUAAACACAUAUGGAUGUAGGAAACAUUUAUACUAUUGUUCGAAAGAACCAAACAACUGGAGUCACAUGACUUACUGAUAGAUAUGGCAUAUAGUCUUAGAGCUAUAACAGCAAAUGCUAUUAUCCUAAUGGAUUGAUCACAAGUUAGUUCAACACUAGAUGUGAGCAUGCACAUAAAUGGAUAACACAACUUGAAUCCUUUGGAAUUCUCAGUAAAGAUUCAGACAAUAAUAUGGACAAGUUACUAUACUCAAUUAAGUAGAGCAAAAGAGUUCUCCUAUACCAGAUUCAAUCCAGAAUGGCAGGGGAGGGAAGGACUGAGUAUAGUUUCAAAACAAUGUUCAGAAUAUUAAGUCAUGAGGGAUAAAUAAAGGUUCAUACCAUACUCCUACACAUACAGAGAUUUCAAUCAGGAUUAUGACCUCACAAGACAAAAUAAGUCUCGAACAUUACAGGAUCAGGUUAUCAAGAUCAUUAGGGUUAAAAAUAGAGGGAGCAUCAUACUUGAACAGACUUAAAUCAACUAUGCAAACAUAGGUUGAAUACUAGACAUGGUGGAAUUGUACUUAGAUUAAAGAAAAAUAGUGGGCAUUCAACCACAACAAGUACAACUACACAAUAACUCAUAAGAGAUAGACUGGUCAUAACAAAUAUCAUUGAUGUGCACGGAAGUUCAUUCAAGUAGGACUGUUUGCAACUAACAGUUAGACUUGGAUGUAAAGCAUUCUUAGAGAGGACUCAAAGGAUAGUUAAGGAAUGACAAGUAUUUGUAUGAAGAAAGGAAAGCAUUUUUGAUAUUCAGAUUUUACAAUCUCUAACCAAGUAAUGCAGGGUUACCCUAUAUACCUUCAUAUAUACCCUAGAGUCAUCUAACAACAUCCCAAAAUUAGGAAUAACUGAACUCAAAAGAACAUGGCUUAAUAAGCAUGAAUACUAUAACAUCAACCUUAAAUAUAGCAUAACAGAGCUCAAAGAAUAUGGCAUGAAGAACGGAAAAACCUUAGUAUAGGAUAGCAGAAGUUAGAAGGGUACAACAUGUUAAACAUGAAGACUAUAGCAGGAACUAAAUAAAGAGUAACAUAACUUAGGAGAAUAUAGCAUAAUGUGCAUGAGGAUUAUAACUGAACAAAACACAGCAUGAUGAGCAUGAAGAUUACAAUAGGACAUUAAAGUAAAGUAUGAAGUCUAGGUAUAUGUGAGAAAUCAUCAAGGCAGGUUAGGCAACUUAAACACAUAGGUUGUUCAGUGCAUAAAUUGAGGUUAUUAAAGUAACACAACUACUUAAUUAACACUUGCUAAAUACAAUAGCUUAUCAUAGAUCAUUAACAAGUCAUGAUGAACCAAAAAUAAAUAAUUACAGACUGAAUAAACACCAUAACUAAGCAGUUAAUCAGGAAAACAAUAGCACGUUCAUGAUUUUUAAAUAAAGUAAUUAAGAGAGAGAGGAUGUAGGGGUACGGACCUCCUCUUGGACAGCAAACCAAAUAUGAUUUUAACUUAGCUGUAUGAGAAACCAGAGUUUCAAACUUUUGAGCAUUGGAGGAACUAGAAAACAAAAGAAAUGAAAAUUAAUCAGAGAGAGAGAGGGAGAGCCUUAAGCUUUGAAAUCUCGAUAGUUUUGAUACUCGUAUUAGGGUUUUAGUUUUUGUUGGUCUGUUAGGUCUAUCUUAUUGUGUGUUAGGUGAGAUCAUUGAAAGACCCUUUUUAUAGUGCCAUUAAUGGCUUAGGGUUUCAGAAAAAUUCAAAUUCAAUACUGGAAGAUGACGAGUACUAGAUGAUGCAACCAUAGGCGAGUGAAGUCAGAGUGAGCAGAGGGAAAAUCAUUAGGGAUUUUACCUGAUAGGAGAGAAACCAAUCAUUGAGGCAUGAGAGACCUCUAGUCAGAACCCUAAUACCAAGAGGUCAUUGAAUUUGACCUCUAGGUGUCGAAUAUCAACAUUGAAGCCAGCUAGCGUCUCAAACUCGCUUUGAUUUGAAAAGAUGAAGGAAGAAAUCUGGCGAGUUGAAAUUUUACCCUUUUGGUCUGACUUUUUCGAUUAGGGCGUUGGAAUAGUACACGCACCUUUUAGUUGCAUCAAAAUACUUAGAGGGAUACUCAGGAAACCUUCUUUCCACUGAAUGUAUCAAUCCUGCUCUUCUCAAUAUCUCGAACAAUUGCGCCAGAGGCUCAGCAAUCGGGGUAUAAUUUCUGGGACCCCUCUCUUCAAAAUUGGGACGAGGGUGUGAUGCAUAAGUGGGUCAAUUUUGGUGGGUAGUGGUUUGGAGAAGAGCAUAUGGUCAGUUUCGAUUCAACACAGAGAUCACUCCCGAUAGGUUCGCACUGGUAAACCUGUCGAAAAAGCCAUCCGAGUCAUUCCAAGAAUAUGCACGUCGGUGGAGGUCAGAGGCUGCUAGUGCGCAACCUUCGUUGGACAACAUGAAUUAACCAAGUAUUUCAUCAGAGCCCAAGAAGGGAUAUAUUUCAAAAAAAUGAUGGGACAAAAAUUCCUCGAGCUGGUCAAGAUGGGAUAUUUCUUAGAAGAAGGUAAAAAAUUUGGUAAAGUACAGUCCAUGGGUGAAUUACAAGCGGCCAGCAAGGCAAUCUAAUCAGGGUCAAUCGGUAGCGGAAAGAAGAAGAAAGAUGAGGUCUCAACAGUCGUCCCUUACUAUCAACCCAACUCACAUCACGGAAACACUUUCCCAACCAACCAUUCACCAACGCCCUCUUACGCUUGAGUUUAUAACACCCAGCCAUAUUACCACCCUAACCCUAAUACAACCCUCCUCGAGCCCACAAUGACUCAUGAAGUCCUCUGCCAUAUCUUGCCAGGUUCUCCAAUUUUGCAGAUCCUGUCGAGUAUACCAAGUGAGUGCUUCUCUCGUCAGGAUCCUUAUAAAUAACUUCAUUCUUAGCUUCUUGUUCCUCCCCACUCCGACUAACUUGUCACAAUAUGCCUUCAAAUGCGCAUGGGGAUCACACGUCCCAUCGAAGAUAUCGAACUUUGGAGGCUUAUACCCUGCUGGCAUAUCCAUAUCUGGAUGGAUACACGGAUUGUCAUAGUCCAAACUCUCACUUCCCAGGGCGACUUGGAGGUUCUUCAUUUAUUUUCUCAAGAUUUCUAGCUGCUCAGAUACUGACUCCUCUUCCUUACGCCUAGCUUCCCUCUCCAUCUCGGCAUAUUAGUCAAUCUCAUAAGGCCCCCUGACCAUGACAGGCACUAUAAAGUUAGGUUCAGAAAUAGCAUAUACUGGAGGAACAUAUCGCUCAUGGACGGCGGUAUGUGCCACAGGUAUGUGCUAAUUUGGGUGAGUGGCAAAAGUGACUCCAUCAUGAGGAGGGGUAUGAGUUGUGUUGGUGGUGAUUGGCGGAUUUUGUGGUGUUUAAACAUACUAUGGUACGUAGGGAGUAUUGAUAGUGGGAUUUGGUGGGUUAUUAGGGGUUACUAGAGGUAUGACUUGAGUGGUGGGGACUGAAGUUGGGGUGUUGUUGUUUUGGAGUGAUGUGGAAGGAAAAUGGUCGGGGAUUGAAUCCAAAGAAGGAAAGCGAGGUGGUUGAGGGAGCGUUGUCACGGCCAAAUGUGCUAGUUCCCUGAUAUGUUGUACUUCGUCCCUUAAAGACUCCAUCUCAUGGGCCAUCCUGGCAACGUGUUCAUCAUUCCUAGUAUCAUCCUUCCUUCCCGAUCGCCCCGGGCUAUCGGUUAUGACCAGAGCAUGUUCAGUAGGGUUUUCUGUAGCAUACAUUUUUCCCUUUGAUCUUAGAUUGUACGGUAGUUUCACCAGUUUCGUGUCGACACAAACCCACUUUCGUUUUGGGAGUAAUAAUAAAGUAAAUAGAAAUAAAUAAAAAGAAAAGGAACAGGAGUCAGUUUCUUCAUUUAUAUAAGCAUGAAAUCACACAUAGUAAUUAAUUCUCAUAUUAAGGCUAGCGUAUUUUCCUAGGAUUCGUAGGACCUCUCAUUGACGGAGGUAGGCCUAAAUCGUAGAUGUUUGACAAACAAUUAGACUUCACACAUUUAGAUCUGAAGCAAGUUUGUUUUCAUUGAUAAUUUUUGGAUUGAGAUAAGUGGUAACAAAGAUUACAUCACUGUUUCUGAUAUCCAUAAAUGCUUCAUGGGAAUAAACUUUUUGCCCUUUAGGAAAGUAAGAAAAAACUGGGGAUAAGGGUACAAAGUGGGAAAGAAUGGGAAACCAACCAACUUCUAGUAACCAUCCCCGGAAUCAUUUCCCAUCUCCUCGUCUUCUUCUGGCUCUUCCUCCGGAUCUUUCUCUAGAUCUUUUUCAAUAUCCCCCUCGUUAUCGUUAAACUCAGACCCUUCCUCUAGAUCUUCUUCUAGAUCUGUCCCAGACUCUAUUUGGAUACACUCCACUACCCGGUCAUCGUCCUCAACAGAUGGAAAUAUGUGAUCGAUGGAUCCUGGGACCAUUUGACGGUGCAUUGAGGUAGUCACAAGGUAAUGUGGCAGAAUCUCAUGAUAGAUCUGCAAAGUAGACAUUGCGUCCUCCAGCCAGGCUAUACCCUCUCUGCUUGGUCGGGCUAGCUCGUAUUCCUCGUUGAUCUAGACAUAAUACUCCGGAGUUCACCAAGAGUUUUGACCCAUCGACAUUAUGACCAGGUCUUUCCACUCUUCUUAAAGCCUUCUUAUCCUAGGAAUUAGAAUCUUUUCGUUGUACUCAUCCUCAUAUAGUGAUGUCCUCGUCCAUAGAGGCACAUCCUGGAUUAUCUCGAACUGUCUAAGAAUCCACAGGGGUGAGUAUGGUUGGAUUCCCUCAAGUCUGAUCAGCUCAAUGAAGUAUUUCUGAGGAGUCCUUAAGAUUGACCUCCCUCAUAACCAUGUGUCUUCCAGUUGACGCAUUCUCCACUUAGAUUAGUCAGUAUUUCCUUCCACUCUUCUUGCCCAUGUGAGGAGACCCUAAUGUCCCAUCCUCUCGUUGUGGCUGCGGAUCGUGUUGACGACGCCCACAAAGUAGUCAAUGGUGGCCUCUCGCUAGAAGAAAUAUUUUGUGGCCCAUAUUUGAAGUAGCAAAUUACAACCCUUAAAGAAAUCAUACCUUCGUGCACAUGCGGACAAAGCUCUCAGAAUCUCAGCUAGCACCAUCGGCACUAAAGUAUCUUGAAUAUUUCCACGGAUGGUCGCAAGAACCACGAGUAAUAAGUCAAUGUUGAUCCGACCCCUCCUCUACGUAAGACCAAUAAUCCCAAUAAUGCCAAUGAGAAAGUGAUAGGCAUGAUACUCUCCCACAUUGCUUAAUCAGACUGAGACUCUCCCGAAUACCACUCACAGCAUUCAUGAUGUCCAAAUCUAUCGAACAGUUGAUCUAAGCUCACUCAUCCGUCCUCAAUAUUUCUCAGACCUCGACUGUUAGCCAGAUCCAAAGCAUCCAAGAAACUAUAACCGGGCAUCGUGACUGGUAGUAUUGGCUUCCUUCCUAUGAAUGGCAGCUCCGUGAAACUAGUAACUUCUUCCAAUGUCGGUACUAACUCACAGUCGGCAAACUUGAACACCACCUUAGCCGGAUCCCAAAACUCUAUCAGCAGACGAGUGAGCACCAUGUCUCUUCAGAUGUUUAGCAAAGCAGUCAGUGCCCCCAAGUGUGUCCGAAUCUCAUCACUAUUUUCUCGAUGAAUGUUCUUCCAUCACUGCUUCAACUUGUGUGGCGUUCCCAUCGCCAUGUUAAUCUCAAUGAUGUUUUGGUUGAUUUCCAUUUUCUGAAGUGGGUAAAGAUAGGUUUUGGUGAGUGUUUGCUUCUGGUCUUUAAGUGUCUCGCCAUGUUUAUUCAUCUUUCCACAGAAGUCAUGUCGUUGGGUGCAUGACCCUUUGACAUUAGGGUGAUUUUCCUAAUUGUGUGUCGAUGCCAAGGACCGACUCACCUAAUGUUUAUGCGAUAUAAUCUAUUUUUGCUAGAGUAGAGUGUUUCCUAUUUUUGAGUUAGACUGAAGACUGCAAGAAGUUAUGUUAGUUGACCUGACAAAGCCAUUCUCUAAAACUAGAGAGUUUAGAAGAAAUGUGAUGACAGUAUAUGUAAAGAGGUAACAUAUAAGGGUGUUGCAAUAAGAAUCAUCAUAAUAAGCAUAAAGAGCAAAUAAAGCAGUUAAGCAUGUAAUUGCAAAUUUAACUACAGUUAAAAUAAUGUACAACCAAAUCUAAGUGCCAAAUUCAGUCUAAGUCUGCUAUGUUCAGAACCUAAGUGUGAGUCCCCAGCAGAGUCGCCAUAUUGUUGCACCCUAUUUUGUACUAGUCAAAACAAGAUUCAACUUGUGGUUUCUCUGUUGUUGAUGAAAGAGCGUCGCCACCUAAUAUUUAAAGGUAUACUAGGGUACCUAUUUAAUUACUAAAGGUUAUAUUCUUUAUUGGUCUUCUAACAGGUGAGAUUAUGGGUAAGGGUUCUUGUUCUUCUAAAGGGAAGGUGUUAGACACCCCUUAAAAUAUACCUUAGGUAGCACCAUAGGACUUAGACUCGAUUUGGGACUAAUUGUUUGUACUAAGCUUUAACUAGUGUUCACAAGAGUACAGCUUACCAUAUAUUAGGAUAUAAUAUUUAUAAGGGAAGAGUAUGGUUUAAAGACGAUGAAUUUAAAGAAAAUCCUUUAGGAAAUUAAUGUUAGUACAUAUAUACUUGAAAAUAACUUUGAAGGAUGGAACGUUUGUAUUAAAUGUGUGAAAGGGAAAGCUAAGUUUAAACACUUUGUUUUCCUAAAUCAUGUAAAUUCAUAUUAUUCUAAUGUGAUGAAAGUGUUUAUGAAAAUGAUCCUAAGAUAUACCUUGGUUUUGAAAUAGAAAACUGUAAGAAAGCCUUUGUUUUAGGGCAGCAGUACCCAAAUCUUUUCGAAAUAGUUGAUUCACUUUUAGAAGACUUAAGCUCGCCACUCAGUUCUGGUUUUUCCUUUUGAAAGAGGGACUGCCACCUUCGUUAAGCCUUUGGGCUUCAAAAAUCUUUAAGGAAAAAGUUAGCAAGGCAUAGUGAAUUGAUAACAACCUCGCGAUUAGUGGUUAUAGAAUUAAUUGCUAACUAAUACCUCUUUUAAUUCUAGAUUAUUAAGUCUUGUCUAAGUUAUUUUAGGAGAGCUAAAAGAUAAAGUAGACCACCCAAUCUUAAAUAUAGCAUAACAGAGCUCAAAGAAUAUGGCAUAAUGAAUAGAAAAACCUAAGUAUAGGAUAGCAGAACUUAGAAGGGUACAUCAUGUUAAACAUGAAGACUAUAGCAGGACCUAAAUACAGAGUAACAGAACUUAGGAGAAUAUAGCAUAAUGAGCAUGACGAUUAUAACUGAACAGAACACAGCAUGAUGAGCAUGAAGAUUACAAUAGGACAUUAGAGUAAAGUCUGAAGUCGAGGUAGAUGUGAGAAAUCAUCAACGUAGGUUAGGCAACUUAAACACAUGUUGUUCAAUAUAGAAAUUGAGGUCAUUAAAGUCACACAGCUACUUAAUUAACACUUGUUAAAUACAAUAGCUUACCAUAGAUCAUCAACAAGUCAUGAUGAACCAAAACUAAAUAAUUACAGACUGAAUAUACACUAUAACUAAGCAGUUAAGUAGGAAAACAAUAGCAUGUUCAUGAUUUUCAAAUAAAGUAAUUAAGAGAGAGAGGAUGGAGAUGUACUGACCUCCUCUUGGGCAGCAAACCAAAUAGGAUUUUAACUUAGCUGUAUGAGAAACCAAAGUUUCAAACUUUUGAGCAGUGCAGGAACUCAGAAACAAAUGAAAUGGAAAUUAAUCAGAGAGAGAAAGAGCCUUAAGCUUUGAAAUCUCGAUAGUUUUGAUACUCGUAUUAGGAUUUUAAUUUUGUUGGUCUGUUAGGUCUAUCUUGUUGUGUGUUAGGUGAGAACAUUGAAAGACCAUUUUAUAGUGCCAUCAAUGGCUUAGGGUUUCAGCAAAAUUCAAAUGCAAUACUGGAAGAUGACGAGUACUAGAUGAUGCAAGCAUAGGCAAGUGGCAGAGGGGAAAUCAUUAGGGAUUUUACCUGAUAUGAGAGAAACUAACCGUUGAGGCACGAGAAACCACUGGUCAAAACCCUAAUACCCAGAGGUCAUUGCAUUUGACCUCUAGGUGUCUAAUAUUAACAUUGAAGCUAGCUAGUAUCUCAGACUCGCUUCGAUUUGAAAAUACGAAGGAAGAAAUCUGGCGAGUUGAAAUUUCACUCUUUUGGUCUAACGUUUUCGAUUAGGGAUUUGAAAUUUAAUGGUGAAAACGGAAAGAGGGACGAGGUCUAGAAUACAGGAGCAAACAAAUGGCCAUGUAUGCCACAGAUUUGAAAUAUCAAUGGCGAUUUGAGGUUUCAUUUAUUGGGGGUUAGGGUUCGGAUUUGGGGGUUUAAGUCUUUGAUGAUGAGAUAGAAAAAAUUCAGCGGGAAUCACGGCUAGGGAAGGCAAGGAGAUGAAUAUCUGAUGAAUUCCUGACCUUGCACGAAUUUGUGCAAGGUCUGGUGAUUGAUUUGGCUUGUGAGGUUGAGAGAAAAAAGAGAAGAAUGGAAAAGAGAGGCGACUGUGCAGGAGCAAAUGAUUUUAGGGUUUUGGGUAGUUGGGGUUGGUCUUUAUGUGUAAG
rnacentral:lncRNA from 1 species